UCGCAAAUAUUGAACUUCAGAGCACCCGGGAAUUUUUGCAAACACACACACACACACACACACACACACACACGGGCAGAAGUAGAAAGCUGGGGAAGAUGUGGUUGUGCAGGAGCACAUGUGAAAAGGAGCUUAGCAGCCCAGAUGCCAGGGGGACCGGCGUGAGUCAGCUGGAGGAUGUGGGCGCCAACAACCUCGGGCAGGCCUGGACCAAGCAGAGCAUCCAGAAAAAGAAGGGUGCGGACUGGCUCUGCCUUAGCAGUGGUCAGACCACCCUGGAGGGCUGGCUCUGUCUGAAGGCCCAUCAUGUGACAGGAAAGGGUGUAUUCCGAGGACAGCUACAAAGAAGCUGGGAGGAGGAGAAGCACUGAGGAGUUAGCAAAGCCUGGUGUGAUAGCACACCCUUGGGAGACUGAGGCAGGAAGAUCAAUAGUUCGAGGCUAGCCUGAGGCUACGCGGUGAGACCCUAUCUCAAUAUAAACAGUGAAAAAAGAGGGCUGGGAACAUAGCUCAGUGGGAAGGUGCUCACCUAGCAUGUGCAAGGCCCCAGCUUCAAACCUCAGUAUUGGAAGAAAAGAAAAAGUUGGAGAAAAGAAAGAGAGCAUGGGCCGGGCGUUGGUGGCGCCCACCUUUAAUCCCAGCACUCGGGAGGCAGAGGCAGGAGGAUCUCUGUGAGUUCGAGGCCAGCCUGGUCUCCAGAGCGAGUGCCAGGAUAGGCUCCAAAGCUACACAGAGAAACCCCGUCUUGAAAAACCAAAAAAAAAAAAAAAAAAAAAAAAAAAAAAGAAAGAAAAAGAAAGAGAGCAUGGCCUACAGAAGGGCUUGAGUCAGGGUGGGCUUGUGCCUAGAAGUCCUCUGCCUCAUGUCACCCCGGUGAAGUCUUAUCUGUCCUUUGUAGCCUCCCCCUCUUCUAGAAGCCUUCCUUCACCUCUCUGCAGAACCAACCCCACUUCCCCAGGAACCCCUCCUCCUGGCAUCCUGGAAUCAGCCCCUGCAGGACAGCACCUGGGGCAAGGAGCCAUGUUUUAAGGGUGUAUCUGAGUAGGCAUCCCUGUUUGAUCAUCCCUAGUGCUUGCUCAGGUGAUUGUUCUUCAGCAGUAUCUGAUGAGCGGAAUGAGUUGCAUGAAAACUGUCAUGAUUUUGACCACGGGAAGACACUGUUCUUUCCAUGUGGCUUUGGAAAGACGGAAGUGGAAGAGAGGGCGGAUAUGACAAGACAGCGGACUUCAGCUAAAAUCAGGAAGUGUUUAUAACAAUAGUGACGACAGCUUCAUUAUGUCUUACUCGUGCAAUGCUACAUGAUAAGCAACUCCAAACAGCCCAGAGCAGUAGCAAGAAGCCCUUCAUUAAUUAUCUCACACAGCUCAUGCCAGCCAGGAACUCAGGAGUGGUGAGGAGAUUGGUUCCGGCUUGGCAUCUCUCAUGGGUUGCAGAUGCCAGCCAGGGCUGCGGUUAUCUGAAGAUGACAUUCUGGCAUACUCACGUGGUUGCUGAAGUCCUCAUUCAGAUUCACACACGAUCGACAACCUGAUUCUUCUCUUUCAUCAUCCACUUCCUAGUCUUCUGCUCCCAGUUCACUUUGAUCAGAGGCUACUGUCUCAACAUAGAUAAAGAGAAUCAUUUUGGAAGGACCUCAGAAAAAGGAGCUGCUGGGGUCCUCCUUUGUCUGCUGUGUUUACUUGUCCUAAUUGCCAAGACUCUGAAGAGGGGGAUGAAAACAAGAGAAGAUGUGAAGACAGCUUAUGAACUGUAAAGUAUUGUUAAAAUCAAAGCCAUUACACUUACUUUUUUUUUCUUAAGGAAUUUUCCAAUCCAUUCUAUCCUGAGUUAGAAAAAAAAAAAAAAAACAACAAAACAAAACAACUGAAAACACUUUAUUUUAUCCUGAAAUAUUUAAUAAGCUAUAAGAAGCAUUUUGAUUUGUGGGGGAAGAUGAAACCUCAAAUUGAACUUCUAAGUGCUUGGUUUGUGUUUAUUACUAAUUUAUUUCCUUGUUAAACUUCGGAUGACGUGUGAUAAACUGUCUGUGUCACCGUGCUAUUGAUUGUACUGCAUUAGAAGCUGAAUUAAAUGUACAUUACUCUGGGGCUGGUCACCGUGAUGGACGCUUUAAAAGGUUUUGAGGGAGAAUAAGUGAGAACCAUUAGGGCCCUUUAGACUCUGUCUCCCAUUGGCCCCUGUCACCCUGGGGAAGUUCUCCUGUAGCUUGGUGGCAUGUAUAACUUUGUCUUAAUGCUUCCCCUAAUGAUUUCUAAUGACUGCUUGGUCAUACCACAUACUUUGUAAAGAAAUAGCUGUCUCCCACAACCUUGUCUUGGGCUCAUUCUAGAAGAUUAGGCCUUUGUGUAUACCCAUGUCAGAUACAAAAUUUCGUGGUGAGUCUCUCAGUACUAGGUACUCCUCUGCUGGUGUGAUUAAAAAACAAAACAAAACAAACAACCAACAACAAAAACAUGUCCAGGAGCAGCUUACAGAGGGAAGACUUUAUUUGGCUUAUGGUUCCAGAGGAUAUGGGUGCAGCAAGACCAGGAGGCGGGGCAGCAGGUGGCAGGCAUAGCACCUGGAGCAGAAGCUAAGGGUUCACAUCUUAAACCUAAAGCAUGAAACAGAGAGCAGGCUGAAGAUGGCGAGGGUCUUUAAAGCCCCAAAGUCUGCCUCCAGUGACAUACUUCCUCCCAUAUGGCCACUCCUCUGAAGCCUCACAGUGCCACCAACUGGGUACCAAGUGCUCAAAUGCCUGAGCCUAUGGGGGAUAUUUCUAAUACAGACUAAGACAGUCGUCAUUUUAUGAGGUCAUUUGCUCAUUGAUUCAUCCAUCUAACACCAGUUGAAUAUUAACACUGUUAUAUUGAGACAGUGGCUCCUUUUAUACCACCAAGUUAUCACUGGGACCAGUACUUGGAAAGGAGUCACUGUUGACUUAUCCUAGAAGAAAGUGUCAAGUUAUGGGAAAAUGAAGAAGUGGAGGCCAGAGUCAGGUUUCUAUUCCAGUAUCUCCCAGGUGGGUGGCAUUGGUCAAGUCACUUUUUAAAAUUUAAUUGAGCAUUUCUUUGGGGCUUUAAUGUGGUUAGUUUUUGUAGAUAUGUAUACAUGAAGACUGUGUUGCUUAUUGUGUAUAAGGCCCUAAGUUUACUUCAGUGACUUAAUUAAUACAACAAACUAGGAGAGCUGGAGAGGUGGCUCAGUGGUUAAGAGCACUGCCUGCUCUUCGAGUUUAAGUCCCAGCAACCACAUGGUGGCAUACAACCAUCUGUAAUGAGAUCUGCUGCCCUCUUCUGGCCUGAAGGCAUACAUGCAGGCAGAAUACAGUAUACAUAAUAAAUAAAUAUUUAAAAAAAAUACAACAAAGUAGUGAUUUUACUUUUCUAUAUUGUAGGGAGUAACCCUGGUCACAGGGAUGUAACAGGGGUUUUAGAAGGAGGGAGAGAUGCACUCAGCUCUCUCGCUAGGCUCAUCGGACUGAGAAGAUAUUUUUGGGUCCUUGUGUGAGUAUUUUCCCCUAAUAAACUACCAUUAUAAACCUA
rnacentral:lncRNA from 1 species